rnacentral:rRNA from 1 species
AAAGUUCCCUUCGGGGGACAAGUAGAGUGGCGCACGGGUGAGUAACACGUAGGUAAUCUACCUUUGGAUUGGGAAUAACAACCGGAAACGGUUGCUAAUACCGAAUAAUGCAGCGGCACCUAAUGGUGACAGUUGUUAAAGCGGGGGAUCGCAAGACCUCGCGUCUGAAGAGGAGCCUGCGGCGGAUUAGCUAGUUGGUAAGGUAACGGCUUACCAAGGCGAUGAUCCGUAGCCGGCCUGAGAGGGCGGUCGGCCACACUGACACUGACAUACGGGUCAGACUCCUACGGGAGGCAGCAGUCGGGAAUUUUGGGCAAUGGGCGAAAGCCUGACCCAGCAACGCCGCGUGAAGGAUGAAAUCCCUCGGGAUGUAAACUUCGCAAGAACGGGAAGAAUAAGUAGGGGACAAUACCCCCUAUGAUGACGGUACUGUUUGUAAGCUCCGGCUAACUCCGUGCCAGCAGCCGCGGUAAUACGGGGGGAGCAAGCGUUGUUCGGAUUUACUGGGCGUAAAGGGCGCGUAGGCGGCCACCGCAAGUCGACUGUGAAAUCUCCGGGCUUAACUCGGAAAGGUCAGCCGAUACUGCGGGGCUAGAGUGCAGAAGGGGCAACUGGAAUUCUCGGUGUAGCGGUGAAAUGCGUAGAUAUCGAGAGGAACACCUGCGGCGAAGGCGGGUUGCUGGGCUGACACUGACGCUGAAGUGCGAAAGCUAGGGGAGCGAACGGGAUUAGAUACCCCGGUAGUCCUAGCCUUAAACGAUGAAUGCUUGGUGUCUGGGGUUCUAUAGUCCCCGGGUGCCGUCGCUAACGC